rnacentral:rRNA from 1 species
CCUACGGGAGGCAGCAGUGGGGAAUAUUGGACAAUGGGGGCAACCCUGAUCCAGCCAUGCCGCGUGUGUGAAGAAGGCCCUCGGGUUGUAAAGCACUUUCAGUGAGGAAGAACGCCUGGUGGUUAAUACCCAUCAGGAAAGACAUCACUCACAGAAGAAGCACCGGCUAACUCCGUGCCAGCAGCCGCGGUAAUACGGAGGGUGCGAGCGUUAAUCGGAAUUACUGGGCGUAAAGCGCGCGUAGGUGGCUUGAUAAGCCGGUUGUGAAAGCCCCGGGCUCAACCUGGGAACGACAUCCGGAACUGUCAAGCUAGAGUGCAGGAGAGGAAGGUAGAAUUCCCGGUGUAGCGGUGAAAAGCGUAGAGAUCGGGAGGAAUACCAGUGGCGAAGGCGGCCUUCUGGACUGACACUGACACUGAGGUGCGAAAGCGUGGGUAGCAAACAGGAUUAGAUACCCCAGUAGUC